rnacentral:ncRNA from 2 species
GGUAUUGAUCCAGCGUCAGGUGCUUGCCGUUAGGUGAGAGAAUCGGGAAGCCGGCGAAAAUCCGGCACGUGCCCAACGCUGUGAGGCGGACUUGAUGCGCAAGGGGAAACCCGGCCACUGGAGCGAUCCGGGAAGGCGCGCGUCCUGGAUGAUGCCCAGUCAGAAGACCGGCCUGGCGAGAUAGACCUUU